AGAGUUUGAUCCUGGCUCAGGACGAACGCUGGCGGCGUGCCUAAUACAUGCAAGUCGAGCGGACCGACGGGAGCUUGCUCCCUUAGGUCAGCGGCGGACGGGUGAGUAACACGUGGGUAACCUGCCUGUAAGACUGGGAUAACUCCGGGAAACCGGGGCUAAUACCGGAUGCUUGAUUGAACCGCAUGGUUCAAUCAUAAAAGGUGGCUUUUAGCUACCACUUACAGAUGGACCCGCGGCGCAUUAGCUAGUUGGUGAGGUAACGGCUCACCAAGGCGACGAUGCGUAGCCGACCUGAGAGGGUGAUCGGCCACACUGGGACUGAGACACGGCCCAGACUCCUACGGGAGGCAGCAGUAGGGAAUCUUCCGCAAUGGACGAAAGUCUGACGGAGCAACGCCGCGUGAGUGAUGAAGGUUUUCGGAUCGUAAAACUCUGUUGUUAGGGAAGAACAAGUACCGUUCGAAUAGGGCGGUACCUUGACGGUACCUAACCAGAAAGCCACGGCUAACUACGUGCCAGCAGCCGCGGUAAU
rnacentral:rRNA from 1 species